CUCCACUGGUCAGCUGAUGAGAGAAGUUACAUUGUGGUUUGAGCAUAUGAAAUACAAAAUUACAAGCUUGGAACUCUUCUAAUAAUGGAAGCUGAAAGCUUUUCAAAAUUGCUGAAGGAACAUCACCCUCCCUCCUUAACAGUGUAAUGAAAAACAUGGAAAGCAACACAGGAAGCACAUUUGUGAAAGGGAAGCUGAAUUUUCAGGAAGUUGCUUGGAAAAGUGAAGGAUUUCCCUGACUUUUCAAUCACACGAGUUAUACCAGCUGUCUUAUGGAUCUUUGCUCCUGCAAGAAAAUG